AAGAAAUAGCUAGUAGAACGGAGGCAAUUUAGCUGGAGCAUUUAAGACAUCAGGAGUAUUUACUGUGGUAGUCAAACACGAACAGAAAGUGGCAGAAAUGGAGAGGGAGGACAAACCCAGCCUGCUGCUCUCCUUCCACACUGAGGUCAAACAAGAGUCACUAGAUGCUGAUUGUGACAGUGGAGCUCAGUGUUCAUUGGUGGAUUCAGAGAUGAUGUCAGUGAAGCUGGAAGACAAAAGUCAACCACUGGGACUGAAUGAUAUUAAAUAUGAAGAGGAGGAGAAGAUUGGGGAUUUCAUUAAUCAAGAGACGACAUCAGUGAAGCAGGAAGACUUCAGUCAAACUCUGGGACUGAAUGUCAUCAUUAAAGAUGAGGAGGAGGAGGAGGAGAUUGGGGAUUCAACUAAUCAUGCAGAGGGAGGACAAACCCAGCCUGCUGCUCUCCUUCCACACUGAGAUCAAACAAGAGCCACUGGAUUCUGGUUGUGACAGCGGAGCUCAGUGUUCAUUGGUGGAUUCAGAGAUGACGUCAGUGAAGAAGGAAGACUGCAGUCAAACACUGAAACUGAAUGUUAUGAAAAAUGAAGAGAAUGGGGAUUCAAUUAAAAAUGGUAAGAACUGG
ensembl:lncRNA